rnacentral:rRNA from 1 species
UGCCAGCAGCCGCGGUAAGACGGAGGGCGCAAGCGUUGUUCGGAAUUACUGGGCGUAAAGGGCAGGCAGGCGGUCUGUUAAGUCAUUUGUGAAAAUCCGGGGCUCAACUUCGGAAAUGCAGAUGAAACUGGCAGACUUGAGACUGGUAGAGGCUAGCGGAAUUCCUGGUGUAGCGGUGGAAUGCGUAGAUAUCAGGAAGAACACCUGUGGCGAAGGCGGCUAGCUGGGCCAGUUCUGACGCUGAACUGCGAAAGCGUGGGGAGCAAACAGGAUUAGAUA